rnacentral:tRNA from 1 species
GCUGAAGUAGCUCAGCUGGCAGAGUGUUAGACUGAAGAUCUAGAGGUCCCAGGUUCAUCCCCGAGCUUCAGCA